UGGGGAAUCUUGGACAAUGGGCGAAAGCCUGAUCCAGCCAUGCCGCGUGAGUGAAGAAGGCCCUAGGGUUGUAAAGCUCUUUCGGCGGGGACGAUAAUGACGGUACCCGCAGAAGAAGCCCCGGCUAACUCCGUGCCAGCAGCCGCGGUAAUACGGAGGGGGCUAGCGUUGUUCGGAAUUACUGGGCGUAAAGCGCACGUAGGCGGGUCGUUAAGUCGGGGGUGAAAUCCUGGGGCUCAACCUCAGAACUGCCUUCGAUACUGGCGACCUUGAGUACGGGAGAGGUGAGUGGAAUUCCCAGUGUAGAGGUGAAAUUCGUAGAUAUUGGGAAGAACACCAGUGGCGAAGGCGGCUCACUGGCCCGUAACUGACGCUGAGGUGCGAAAGCGUGGGGAGCAAACAGG
rnacentral:rRNA from 1 species